GCUCCGCCCAUUUCACACGCUGCUGCUGCUGUCUUCUUUCACUGAAAGUACGAUUGACUUUGUUAACGCAUUGUUUAUCUAACGUUUUGGAAGAUAAAGGCAGUCCCCGGGUUACAUACGAGUUCCGUUCCUGAGUCCAUCUUUAAGUCCCGAUUUGUACGAUUCUGAGGUUGACAUCCAUGAAGGGAACUAGCAUGCUAGGAAGAGUCUUUGGCAAAGUGCUGGGUUUCACAGGCUUUACAAUUCAGUAUGGUUGCAUUGCUCACUGUACCUUUGAAUACUUAGGAGAGAUUGUUAUGUGUUCUGGUCCUUCCAUGGAGCCUACACUUAAAGGUUCUGAUGUGAUCAUCUCAGAGAAACUCAGUCGGCACUUUUAUCGCAUUGAAAAAGGAGAUGUAAUAAUUGCUGUAAGUCCCAAUGAUCCCAAAAUGAACAUCUGCAAAAGAGUGAUUGGUCUGGAGGGUGAUAAAAUAUACACUAGUGGCCCAUUGGAUGCUUUUAAGACACAAAAAUAUGUGCCAAAAGGUCAUGUUUGGUUAGAAGGUGACAAUUUGCAGAAUUCCACCGACUCCAGGAAUUAUGGACCAAUUCCUUAUGCAUUGAUUAAGGGACGAGUGUGUUUAAAGAUUUGGCCUCCACAUGAGUUUGGUUUCCUGCGAAAAAGUCCCAAUCAAACUUCCAACCGAUAAAGGAAGCAUACUGCAACGGACUAGUUCCAAGUCAUGUAUUUCUAUUUUAAAUGCAACUCAACCCGAGAUGUUUUGCAUCGACUUCACAAAUGGAAGUGAGGUCACUCGAGUCAAGUGUGAUGUUCUCCAAAGGGGUUGUCUAUUGGUGGGGCCUCAGGUGGCUGUAGAGAUGAUCCAGGAUCCACAUCUUACACAGGACUUAAUCCAGGAUGUUAAGGUGGAUCCACUUAAUGGAGGAUCCUGUGUGCCUUGGUUUAACAUGGAGAAGCUGUUGUAUGGGCAGCCAUCGACAAAUUGGAUCAGGGUCCAGUGGCAUAAAGAGGCAAAUCAAUUUGUUGCGGUACUGACAGGUAAAAAGAGUGGGAGAAGAUGGAUUAGAACAUUCAUUCCAAAAGCAAUAUAUUUUGUUUAGCUUUCUUUGCGUUUUACACUACAAUAAAGUACCAAAGGUAAAUAUUUGAUGACCUUUGCUUAUAUCAGAACUUUUACCACAUCACACUUACUUCAUUCAACAAAACACUUUGUCUUAAAAAUAUUCAUUUAAGGCUUAUUCUUCUCCUCCUAGAUUUUGAUGCACUGGUAUUUUAAUAGCUGUGAAAGUGAUACGUGAUUGACCUUGCCAGCCAAUGUUCGUAUUGUGUUGGAGAAUGGUGAACUUUGACAAACUUCUAUCAGUGCACAGUAUCCUAACUGGUUGCAAAGCCCAAGAACAGACAACUUACGGAAAUUGGUGGGCGCAGCUCAGAUCAUCACAGGCAAAGCUCUCCCCACCACUAAGCACAGCUACAAGGAGUGCUGCCACAUAAUAGUAGUAUCCACCAUCAGUGACCCCUCACCUUCCAGGCCAUGCUCUCUUCUCACUAUUAUCAUGGGGCAUGAGGUACAGGAGCCUUAGAUCUCAGCAGGUUCAGAAACAAUCAUUACCCUACAGCCAACAGUAUCCUGAACCAGAGUGGAUAACUUCACUCACCACAACUGUGAGCUGAUUCCAUAACCUACAGACUCACUGUCAAUAACUCUAUAACUCAUGUCCUCAGUUUUAUUUAUUUUAUUAUUUGCAAUUUGUCUACUUUUGUACAAUGUCUGUCAGUCUUUGUUUUUUUACAAUAAUUCUAUUGUAUUUCUUUAUUUGUUUUUAUAAAUACCUGCAGGAAAAUAAGUUUCAAGGUAGUAUAUGGUAGCAUAUCCAUAUUUUGACUUUGAAUACUUUUACUGGCCUUGCAGUCCUCUCUUCUCACAUUUAGCUUCUACUUAUUUAAAGAAUUUCAAGUUUCUAAUUUGAUUUAGUUACUUUACGUUCCACUUCCCCCAAUGCAUGAUUUCCUCCAACAUAAGGAUCUCGGUGCACAGGAAUGAUGUUUGCAAAAUGACAAGGUAUCAUCCACUGCAUUGGUCAAAAUGACUUGAGUCACUAAAGCAUCUAGUCUCAGGUGCAAAAUUAGCUUCCAUAGCAAAGUGCAUAGAAUCACAGAGUAAUGCAGCACAGAAACAGGCUCUUCAGCCCAACUAGUCCACACCAACCACAGCAUGCUAAUCCCAGAUGCCUGCGUUUGGCCCAUUAUUCUCCAAACCCUUUCCCUCCAUUUACCUAUCCAAAUGGCUCUUAAAUAUUGUAAUUAUACCAACCUCAAACACUUCCUAUGGCAGCUCAUUCCAUUACUCUCUGAAUAAAGAAGUUAUUCCUCCGAUCUCUUGUUAAUCUCUUCUCUCUUGUAUCUGUGCCCUCCCGUUUUGGGGAACAAUGGGGAAAAAGACUGAUUGUCCACUUAAAACAUACCCCUUUGUGAUUUCACAAAUUUCUAUGAGGUCACUUCUUAGUCUCCUACUCUCCAAGGAAUAAAGAUCCAGCAUGGCUGACCUCACCCUACAACUUGGGCCCUCUAGUCUAGGUAGCAUCCCUGUAAACCUCUCCUGCAUCUUCUCCAUACUCUCCUUUAACAACUUGAUAAAAAUUGAACACAAUACUCCAAGUGCAGUCUCAACAACAACUUAACUUAAAUAAAUGCAGUAUAAUGUCAGGGCUGAUGAAGACCAGUAUGCAAAAUGCCUUCUUCACCACCUGUAGAUUUGUACACCAAGGGUCCUGUGUUCCACCACAUAAUACAUUUAUUAUACAUUCCACCACAUAAAUACAUUUAUAUAUCACUUCUAUAUCCUUAGAGUGAUAGUUAAAAUGCUAAACUGUGUUCUGCACCACAUUAAUAUUGUGGUUGUUCUGACAGUAACCUCAAUUCCACAUUCUUGUCUACGUGCAAUAACAUUUCAUCCACUUUCAUAUUUAGUAACAAAAGUCACACAUUUGCAUGAAAUUCUUUAAGUAUAACAAAAUCCACUAUUUCAAAGUGGAUUAACACAUUUAAAACAAAUAAAUUGGUAAACACACAGUACAACUUGUACAUCUAAUUUAAAUGAGUGAACUUGCAUUUGUCCAAGAGAAUCAUUGUGUUCUCUUCCGCCUCCCCCCACCCCCAAUACAGGACGUAUACCAGAAGUGCUGUUUUCAUACAGCCCUCAGCAGUACCAUCAGGUAGAAGAUCCAACAGUAAAAGAACAGGGACUGUCAGGCUGGGUAACAAUUUCUUCUCUCAAGCUGUGAGAAUUCUACCCUGCUACCACUCAGUACACACUAUAACAGCACCAGCAGCAUUAUACUAUUGUUUAUUUUCACAUACGCACUUUAUGCCAACUUGUACAUCUACAUCUACAGAAUUAUUUUAUCUGUUAAUGUUAUUGAGUUAAUAUUAAAUAUUAUUUUAUAUGCUGUAUGUGAUAUAUGUACUGUGUUUUACACCUUGGUUCCAGAGGAACAUUGUUUCAUUUAGCUGUAUACAUGCGCAGUGUCAAUAGUUUCAUGUAAUAUCAGAAAAAUGUAUACAAUACACAUCCUAAAAUUCUUGUUCUUCACAGACAUUCAUUAAAACAGAAGUGGGCCAAAGAAUGAGUGAUAGUAAAAAACAUUAGAACUCUAAAGCCUUCCCUACUCCCCUCUUCUCACACACACACGCAGUAACAAAGCAACAAACCUCCCUUUUCCCCACUAACUUCAUCAAAAUCAACAUCCUCAGUUGAAUGACAAUAAACUUGAACUCAACACUUUUACUAGAGCAAGCAAAGUGAGUUGUUUACUAGCUUUAAAUUACAUAUGCAAUGGUAACAAUUCCAUUACAUUCCAAUUCUUUGCCAAACAUGCAAAGAAUAAUUGUCAUAACAUAAAACACCAUUUGCUUAAAAAUUAGCUUUAAUCCAUUUUGAUGCACUCUGUGUGAUUAGGCAGAUAAUUGUAGCAGGCCAGAUACACCUCAUGGCGACACAAGAACGCGCAGAUACUGAAAUCAGUUGCCAAAUACAAGCUGCUGGACGAACUCAGUGAGUCAACCAGCAUCUAUUGGUGAGAAAUAGACAGUCUACAUUUCAGUUUGAGAACAUUUAUCUGGACUGGAUGAAGUCCAGAUGAAGAGACUUGACUCAAAUUAUUCACUGUCCAUUUCCCAUUCCCUCUGCAGAUGCUGCCUGACAUGCUGAAUUCCUCUAGCAGCUAAUGUUUUGCUCCAAGUAUACAGUGUCUUGAGUGGGCACAAAAUGCUGUGGGCAGCAGCAUCAAGAACAAAUACUGAGGUAUGUGUCAAAUGUAGAUAUCAGUACAUAAUUGUUUUGAUUUGUGUUUACUGUUGCUGACAAAAGUUGUUUUUAAAUACAUUGAAGUGACUGGUAGAAAUCUGAAAUACACGUCAAAUGUCCCAGUGAAGACACUUCAACUCGAGCACAAUUAACUACUUUAAGCAUGAUGCAUUCUCAUUUUAUUAGAAGAAACAAAGUUUGUAAGUCACAACCUUUUGAUUCCAUUUCUGUCAGUGAAUAUUAAUGGGCAUUGCACGUAUUUACAACAAUAUCAAAUGGAUGAAAUGUAAUGGGGACUUGGCACUGUAACUUGGGAUACCCAGGAGGUUGCCACAAGUGCUGAAAACAAGCAUAAAUUCUUUAAAAAGUGUGCAAAAUUCAUUCUUUUUCGAAAAAGGAAUUGUUCCAAUUUCUGGGAAGUAUGUUUUGUUCAGGAUUUUGAAUUACUUCAAAUUACUGAAGAACAACUAUAAAUUCUCAUUUUUAAAUAUAUUUGUAUUCAAAUGUUAAAGUAGGAUAGACUAUAACUACAUUCUAAAGAUGUCCAGUUAGGGUUUGGGCAUGCUACAUUGAUGCCAGAAGCACAGUGACACUUGAGGAUUGUCCCUAGCAUAAUCCUCACUGAUUUGAUUUUACAUAAACGGGGCAUUUCAUUUGUAUGUUUUGACGUAACUGUGACGAAUUAAAUUAAACUUAAAUAAGAAUCUAUUUUGUUUACUAUAGCUACAUUAGAAGUAUAGGUAUUGAAGGUAAUUCGAUUGUUUUGUCCACAGGAAGAGCUACCAUUAGAACUGCAACCAAUGCUGCUAAAUUAAAACAUGAUGAAUUCUAUCACAUAUUUCAAAUGCAUGAAAAGUAUCUCAAGGUACAAAAAAUACAAAGAAAAAUUAACAAUUGCACAAGAAGUGAAUUAAGCCUUAGUUGAAGAAUUGGCACUAUAAGAAGAAACCUGGGUAAAUCCAGUACAAGCAAAUUUAAUCAACUUGCCCCAUUCCAGAAUUCCUACUAAUUGGACUAGAACAGGAAUCUAAGGCAAAACUGACCAAACCAAAAGCAAAAUACUGAAGUUCUUGAAAAUAUGAAAUAAAACAACUGUUGGAAAUAAUCAACAGAUCAGGCGGAAGUUCUGGAAAGAACAUACAAAACUGGAUUCAAAUACAUCGAAAGCAGGUGUCUUAUAAUUUAUUGCAAUGAAGAUUCCACCUUUAAAAAGUUAACAGAUCAACAAUGAUGACCCUUUUACAGGCUCUAAACAAUUAAUUGUAUAAUAAACGACCAAUGGGAGAGGAGAAAAUCGCCUUUCUUCCUUAAUUCUCCAAAUUAUAAUUUUUGAUCUGAACUGUGUAAUUAGGGGAGCCCAGUAGUGAUGGGAAUAAUACAAAGGGAAAAGUCAUUCUUACAGACAAUACAAGAAAAAAGGUUGGAAUAAUAACAGACACACAGAGAGUACUUGGUACUGGGGUCAAAAUGAAACUUUAAUGUUGAUGGGUGCUGGCCCACAAUUCAAAAACAUAUGGCUUAGUAUACAAAUUGGUCACGUGGGUGUAACAGGGCCGAAGGACCUGUCACCAUGCUGUAUCUCUGAAUAAAUAAAUAUAAUAAAAACAUCAAACUAAAUAAAUGUAUACACAAUUCAGUAACAAUUUUUUAAAAACUAUUUCAAUCUGAUCAACUAAUCCAUCAGAUUUCUGAAUAAUCCAUUAACCCAACAAUUAUUCCUUUAUUCUUUUUAUGCACUAUUUUUUUGUGAUUUUAUGUUUGCACUGUACUGCUGCCACAAAAUAACACAAUCAAUGUUAAUAAACCUGACUGAAUUAUUUAUUGUGCAGCUAAUUUUAUCUUUUUGCAUUUAAUGAAUUCAUUACCUGUCUGAAUGACCUUGCAUCUGUGUGAAGAUUCAUUGGCUCUUUGCAUGUACAUUAUAUGAUGGUGUAAAUCUAACAUGAAUACAUGCUUUUACUUUCUUGGAGUUAGUUGUGGGGCCCAAAUGAAGAUAGCAAUGAACUGCCCUUUCUCAUGAGGCAGCUGAUGAAAGCUGUUGUUAGAAGAGUACUGGAAUAGCCAAAAAGGACAAGCUUCUGUGACCUCCUAUCCUGCUGUGUUUGAACUGACAAAGAGAGGUGGAGCAAUUGUGCCGUUCCUUUGUCUCAACUGUCAGAUCAGAGAAAACACUCCAAGGCUCAUCAUUAAGGUUUAUGGGACUUCAGUUGAAGGGGAUUAAGAGCAAAAUCUAUUGAGAUCCUUUUAGACUGAAGAAUAACAUUAAAUAACUAUUAGAAGCCUGGCUCAAUAAUGCUUUACUGUGGCUCUUGCUGGGGCAUUCACCAUUUCAGAAGUGCACGUGUUCACCCAGCUGUGCUACUUUACUUAAUCAAGGACUAACCGAGUGCUAAAUAUCAAAAUCAUUCUCAAACUUUACUGCAUUAUCCAAGUUACUGACUGUAUACAAUAAUAAAACACUACUUUGCAAGCAUGAACAAAAUUUUAAAAGUAAUUUAUCUAAAGAGCUUUUCUGAAAAGACUAGAUUUUAAAACUCAGUGCAAUGAUGGAAAUACAUUUCAAUAACCCAGUGAGAUUAUGGAUCAUAGCAGGCAUAAAGAAAGAAGUUUCCGAGAAAUGACUUACCUUGAAAAGCAUGUAUUAGGCAGCAACCUGGCUGCACAUCAGCCUCUGACAUUUAUAAAUAGAUGUUUUUCCUAUGAUUGGAAGCGAACUUGUUAUAAAGACCUACACUUAAUCUAUCAAUAUCAAUGUGUUGCACUCUUCAUUUCUUAAUCCUAGCCUAAUUACAGAACAAUUUACAAUGACUAAUUAAUCUACUAACUGUUGUGGCUUUAGAUUGUGGGAGGAAACCAACGCACUCACGGGAAAGACGUACAAACUUGUUAGUUGAACUUUGAAUUCCAGCACCCUGAGCUGUAAUAGCGGCAUGGUAACCACUAUGUUACCGUGGCGUCCAAAUGUUUUUCCUAUGAUUGGAAGAGAACCUGUGAUAAAGAACUAUACUUAAUCUAUUGCCUCAAUGUGAUGGACUCUUCAUCUCUGGUCCUUAACAUUUAUUGCUUAUUUAUUAUUUAUUUAUUACUAUUAUUCCUUUCUUUUUGCAUUUGUUGACCUUUGCACACUGGUUGAAUGUCCAAGUUGGUGUGCUCUUUCAUCGAUUCUAUUAUGGUUAUUAUUCCAUUAUGGAUUUAUUGAGUAUGCCCGCAAGAAAAUGAAUCUCAGGGUUGUAUAUGGUGACAUACAUGUACUUUGAUAAUAAAUUUACUUUGAACUUUGAACACCAUAUUCCCAAUAAUGUAACUAUCUGUGGAAGAAGUGAGUGUGGCAAAACGAUUUAAAAUAAAUAGGAAUAGAGUACGUUCCCUCAAAAUGGAUUUUUUUUAGUUGUAAGUGGCCAUAAACAAAAAGGAAUACCAAUUAACUCUCCCUAUUGCCAGCAAUCUUGUCAAACAUUCAGUCUACAGCCUACUUUUGUUUCAUGUUGUGGCAAUCACAGUCUAAGUACUUAGCAUACUCCUAUCAGAUAUGCAUGUAGGGAUAUUUACCAUCUGUUUGCACUUAAUCUGUAAAGCUGUCUGCAAAGCGUAGAUCACAAUGUUUUGUAAUAACAUUGUAAUUUUACCUGUGCAUACACUUUUGAAUUUGAUACUACAUGAACACAGCUGUGGGAAAGAUCUACUAUGACCACUGUGAUUCCAUUCCGAAUAAACCAUCAUCAUGAAUAGAUUUGCUGGAAAGCAAGGCAUCAUUGCCAAGUGCACAGAAUUUGGAUAGCAUUUUUAAUUUUCAACCAAUGACAGAUGGUGGGCAAGGAUUGAAUGAUAGCAAGUCACCAACUCAAAUGCCAAAGUGAACAAGAAAAUGGACACCAUUCCCAAAUAAUCCCCCCAAGUAGGUAAUUCCAGCAGAAAACAGGGUCAGCAGGACUCCACAGAUACAAGUGUGAUAGAGAGAGAGCAUGAGUGAGAGGAUCACCAUUGAGCUCAUCUACAAGGACCGCUGCCACAAGAAAGCAGUAUUCAUCAAGGAGACCCACCAUCCAGGCCAUGUUCUUUUCUCACAGCUGUUACUGGGCAGGAGGUACAGGAGUCUUAAGUCCCGCAUUACCAGGUUUGAGAACAGUCGUUAACCUUCAAACAUCAGGCUCCUGAACCAACAUGAUUAAUGUCACCAACCUAAAUUCUGAACUGAUUCCACAAUCUGUGGGCUCACUUUCAAGCUCUCUACAACUCAUGUUCGCUUUUUAUUUAGAGAUACAGCGCAGUAACAGGCCCUUCAACCCAAUGAACCCCCACCGCCCAAUUACACACAUGUAACUAAAUUAUCCUACUAUCCUGUAUGUCCUUGUUCUCAAUUUUAUUUAUUGAUUUAAAUUUGCAGUUUUCUUUGGUGCAUUGGCUGUUUGUUAUUGUGUGUAGUUCUUCAUUAGUUCUAUUGUAUUCCUUUGUUCUGUGAGAAAAUGUAUCUCAGGGUAGUAUAUGGUGAUAUACAGUAUAUGAUAAUAAAAUAACUUUGAACUUUAGAUCCAUGGCUGGUGCCCAGAGGGAAAACUGUAAUAGGGGCAUUUUCUGAAAAGAUGAUGGGAGUCUAAUGCAGAUUCAGAACUGAGAGAAAGCAAAAAAUAAAAUAAAUAAACAAGCUUGAAAUACAAAGGAAACAAGACGGGAAAAUACUGUAGAUAGGAUUUUGACAGGAGUCUACCAAAUAAAGCUGAUGAACGAUAACCAUGGAGUUACAAGCUCAAAGAUCAAAGUUCAUAGUAAAUUUAUUAUCAAAGUGUAUAGAUGUCACCAUAUACAACCCUGAGAUUCAUUUUUUACAGGCAUGCACAAUAGAUUCUAUGAAAACUACACACAAAGGAGGACAAACAACUAAUAUGCAAAAGAUGAAAAAUUGUGCAAAUACGAAAAGGAAAACAAAAUAAUAAUAAAUAAAUGACAUUGAGAACAUGAGUGUAAGAUUUAGUUACAACUGAAAGAUAGCAAAAAGAUGCAAAUCAUAACUGACUGAUCAAAGUGUUUUCAAAAUAAACAGAAUUGAAAAUAAAAAUUGAAAAGGAAACAAUUAAAGGUCAUUCCUUUUUGUAGUUGUGAAAUCAUCAUCAAGCAAGCCCAGAAGCCAUAACCAAAGAACAAAAUAAAAGGUAGAGAGUGGACUCCUGUCAGUGAUAAUAAACCUGAUUCUAAUUCCACAAUUUUCUGUUUUUAUGAGUGAUAAUUUCCCACCUUGGCUAAAGUUCCACUCAGAAGAGAUCAUGUACCAACUCUCUGCCUGAGCAGUCUAGGCUAUCCCAUUCCCUGGUUCUCGUGACUGUCAGAGUGGAGACCCUAUACUAGGACGGUAUGAAAACACCUGAAGCAGGGUUAGAAUGUGCGCAGUACUGUUUCCACACAACUGGAAGUAGAUUCAUGAGAUUAAAGUAGAGUCUUAUGUAGAGUAAGACUGGAAAGUAUCAGAACAUCAGUAUUGAGGAAAGAUCUGAAGGAUGUCUAGGAGAAAUUUUGCUGGAUGUAUGAGGGGAUCUGGAAGUCACUUGUCAAAUAACUCAUGCAAGUGCAUAGCUAAUGUCAUUACAAAAUCCCUUCAUGUCCAGGCUCAUCAAGAAUGUUCUUUAAAUACACCCAAUGACUUGGCCUCCACAGAUUCACCACACUUUGACUAAGGAAAUUCUUCCGGAUUUCUAUUCUAAACGGACAUCCCUUUAUUCUGUGGCUGUGUCCUCAGGUCUGAGACUCACCCACCAUAGGAAACAUCCUCUCACACAUCCACUCUGUCAAGGCCUUUCAACAUUCGAUUGGUUUCAAUGAGAUACCCGCUAAUUCUUCUGAAUACAAGUGAGGACAGGCCCAGAGCCAUAAUUGAAAAUGUACUAGUUAUCUAUGAAGAAAUUCUAUUAUUUAUAUUUAAAGAACACCCGAGCAUCAGAUACCAAAACAAACGUCAUCAGUGUUACAGACUGACUGAAUAUUAAUGAGGAGAAUGAAGAUGCUACAAUUGAAGCAUAUCAGUUUGCAAGUCAGCCCCAGGCAUCAAGCACACCGUUAUCCCGGACAAGGAAGUCAGAAUCAGAUUCAGGUUUAAUAUCAGAGGCAUAUAUUGUGAAAUUUGUUGUUAUGCAGCAGCACAUAAAAAUACUAUAAAUUACAAUCUAAGAAACACACACACUGUGUUCUAUGACUCUAUAUAAAAGAUAAGUAGUGCAAAACGAGAGCAAAAUUAGUGAAGUAGCGUUCACAGGCUGGCUCGUUGUCUGCUCAGCUUAACUGACGUUUUAAAAAUAUGUUCAAGUACCAGGGCUUAUUUUGUAUUAGACAUUACUAAUCUUUCCUUUUUUCUUUUAGGCUUAUAUUACCUCAAUUACUCCUGUGUCACGGUUUCAAUAAUUAACUCAAUUACACUAAGUAAAAUGAGUCUGCUUAACUGGCAUCCCAUCCACUCCCAUGAAAUUCACCUUCACCAUAGUAACUAACAAAAAUUAUUCUAAGACCGCUUCCAAUCCCACAAGCGCUACCAAAAAGGAAUUGGCUCAUGGGAAUACCACCAUGUGCAGACUCGCCUCUGAGUUACAGACCAUCCUGAUAUGAAUAUUUCACUGUUUCUUCUCUUCCACUGGUUUCAAACCCCAGAAUACUCUAGUCUGUAGCAUUGUAGAAGCUGAUGAGAAAAACUACCUAGUAGAAAACAGCAACAGCUAACCAGCACAUUCUCAAGGCCAAUGAGAGGUGGAUUAUGAAUGCAAGUUUUGUUAUAGAGUCAAAACACUAGAACACAGAAACAAGCCCUUCGGCCCAUCUAGUCUGCGAACCAUUAUGGGUAACACCCAUAUCCUAUAAAAAAAUGAGAAAAAAACUCACUUGGCUUAAAGUGUUAUAUUUUCAUAUCAGAAAAUAAAGGACAUUACAACACAGUACUUUAAACCCACAAUGUUGAGUUGACAUUUAAACCUAAUCUAAGGUAAAUCUAACCCUUCCUUCCUAUGGAGCUUUCCAUUUUUCUAUCAUCCAUAUGCCAAUACCAUCCAUACUGGCUGAGCUGUAAACAUCUAGGUUUAUUUUAGUGUAACUGAAUUCAUUAUUGACAACUGCGAUGCAGGAGUAACGGAGGUAACUUUAGCUAAAAAGAAAAUGAGGAAAAAUCAACGUCUGCUCCAAAAUAAGCCGCAGUACUUGAAAACAUUUUAAAAAAUAGAUUUCAUAAUAACUUAAAUUCCUCAACUAACAAAAGAUGUUAACUGUUGUUUGUACUUUUAAUAUUGUUUGUAAUUCUAGUUACAAAAUCAUUGACAAUAUUCUGGAAGUCAUAAAAACUGAUGUGAGCAUCAGAAUCAGAUUUAAUAUCACUGACAUGUCAAAAAAUUUGUUCUUUUGCGGGAGCAGUACAGUACAAUACAUAAAAACAUUACAAAAGAUAUAUAUAUACAUAUUUUAAAAAUAGUGUAAAAUAGAGAGUGAAAUAGUGAGAUAGUGUUCAAUGUCCAUUCAGAAAUCUGAUGGCAGAGGGGAAAACGCUAUUCCUAAAAUGUUGAGUGAGUGUCUUCAGGCUCCUGUACCUCCUCCCUGUUGGUAGUAAUGAGAGGGCAUGAUCUGGGUGGUAGGGAUCCUUAAUGAUGAAGAACACCUAUUUGAGGAUUAUCAGGUUUAAGACAGAGUAGAAUUGGGGUUUGGGUGAGAUGAUAAUGGAAAGGAGGGCUGAGAACCACGGCAGUAGGGAGUUAAAUGAUGUUGUAUGACCCUGGAAAAUGAUGUUGUACGACCCUGGAAAAUGAUGUUGUACUACCCUGGAAAAUGAUGUUGUACGACCCUGGAAAAUAAGAAGCUGUCACUGAGUGCAGAUACACUGUGCCUUUACCAGACACAUUGAAAAGUGAUGAUGCCUCCACAUCAAUUUUGGACAAGAGUGUGUUGCAAAAAGAAAAACGGCUGAGUGUUUUCCCUACAGGCAAUACACAAAUAUUGACUACUCUCCUCCCUUCCCCCAUUAGCUGCACUGAGCAUAUAUACAUUUAUUGAAAGCUAUAAUGGAAGUCUGAGGGUCCCCUGUCCUGGGGCCAGAAGAGAUGAUGAGCUAUCACUUCAUGUAAUGGCAGCCCCUCUGUGACAGGCAUGACCUACAUUUUUUCUCCUCUUGCUCACAACUGUCUGCCUGUGCUUCAAGGAGAUGUUUAAGCAGCAAGCUGGGCAUGCCUGGUUAAUGUUACAGUGGAUAUGAAUUUAAUUUCCCUCAGUUUCGACAGAUAUGAACAUUCCUAAAUAAACUGAAUAACUUAAUCUUGCAUUCUCAAUAUUAUUCAAAACCAUUAUCCAGUUCUAUUCCUUUUAUAAGAUUACAGAAAAAAUGCAAAUAUUUAAGUAACUAUAAAUCAGGUUAUGUCUUCAAUUCAGAGUCAGUGAACACAGAGAAUGGCACAUACGUAAAAAUAAAUGCAGAUAGCAAGUUUAGUAGAAAUAUUCAACGAGGAGGUUUCUCUCAUCAUAAUACAUAAACCAUUUAUUAUUUUUUUUAUCUAUUCUUGAGAAACCUCUUCUAAUUUAAGUGAUACUGAACUGACGACUUAGCCCUCACAAAGCUUCGG